AGUGAACGCUGGCGGUAGGCCUAACACAUGCAAGUCGAACGGCAGCACAGUAAGAGCUUGCUCUUACGGGUGGCGAGUGGCGGACGGGUGAGGAAUACAUCGGAAUCUACUUUUUCGCGGGGGAUAACGUAGGGAAACUUACGCUAAUACCGCAUACGACCUACGGGUGAAAGCAGGGGAUCUUCGGACCUUGCGCGAUUGAAUGAGCCGAUGUCGGAUUAGCUAGUUGGCGGGGUAAAGGCCCACCAAGGCGACGAUCCGUAGCUGGUCUGAGAGGAUGAUCAGCCACACUGGAACUGAGACACGGUCCAGACUCCUACGGGAGGCAGCAGUGGGGAAUAUUGGACAAUGGGCGCAAGCCUGAUCCAGCCAUACCGCGUGGGUGAAGAAGGCCUUCGGGUUGUAAAGCCCUUUUGUUGGGAAAGAAAAGCAGCAGGUUAAUACCCCGCUGUUCUGGCGGUACCCAAAGAAUAAGCACCGGCUAACUUCGUG
rnacentral:rRNA from 1 species